CCAUUUCAUUAUCCUAUCUGUUGGCCACAUUCAGAAAUGAAUUGAUGUCCUUUUGCCCCCACCCCAGGAAACAAGCAGACACAACAAAAUAUCAGUGACAGCAGCUUCCCAGUCGGCGAAGGCAAUCAGUUCUAAUCAGUUCUACUCCACUCUGGGUCAGGUCCACCCUCCGUCCAUUCAGCUCAACACUGAAUCUUUUGUGGUGGCACCAAGGACACAUUGAGGGGCAUGUCAGGAAAGAGACCCAUCUACGUUGACAGGAGUGGUGCGGCUAUCUAGCAAGAAAUAACUCACGGACAUGUCUCAAGAGAUAUAUUUGAGAUCCGACAGAAUCCAAAGGGGCCGCUGUCCAGGGUUCCAGAAGACCCCCACGCCACCACCUAUCCACUCUCGUUUCUGUUUCGAACCUUAUUCUGGAGGGUUCAGGAAAUGAGUCUGCAGACUGCACGAUAACGAUCAGAGACCACUUUGGUGAUGCACGCGGGAUGGGAAAGGGAGGCAUCACGAAGCUACGGGCAACUGUAGGAGGAAGUGCAGUGUUGCCCUGGGGUUACUGGCCACUCUGGAGGAGGCUCUCAAGGAGCGUGAGUCUUGCCCUGCACUGAGUUUGGAGGACUCCUACAAAAACACGGUGGGAACACGCCCAGAGCAGAUACUUGCCCACUGGACCACUGAGACUCCCAGACAAAACCCACCGUCAUUGGAUAGCAAAGCGUGGGCACAGACAGAAGCAAUGGGACCAAGAUCCCAGGUGGACCAAGGAUCCGAGUCAGGGCAUUCAUGGAGAAAAAAGACAUCAUCUUGGGAUGGCCCAAAGAGAGAGAUAUAAAGGGCAGGGAACAAUCCUGUUUUACAAGCAGUAGACUGAUACUAGACUUCUGUGCCCUACUUUGGCUCCAGCGUUUACAAAAUGACAUGAAGGAAACCGGUGAGGACCCAGAGGCCAGCGACAAGCACGAUUAAAGGGAUUGAAAAAAUGGUCCUCUGAAGCAAGAUGAAAGGAAAUAUGUUGUGUAUCCUGGAGAAAAAAGGUUAAGGGGUGACAGUGAUUGCAUUCAAAUACAGGUGGGGUUUGGGAGGGGGGCACAGAUCAAUUCUUCUCCACAUGCAAAGGGAGACUGAAGGGAAGUAACAGGCUUAAAUAAGAAGGUGGAGAGUUCAUUGGCUAGAAUGAACAAUGUAUGGAAGGGUACAAGCUAAUAGGGAUCUUGGAUUUUAACACGUCCAAAACAGAAUUUCUCUUCUCGUUCUUCCCCGCCCCCCACCCACACUCCCCCACUGCCCCUAAACUCCUGACACUCCUGAAGUCUUCCCUAUUUCAAUAAACAAUACCAACACUUACCCCGGCCAAGUAAAAAACCCUAGGGAUCAUUUACAUUUCCUUCCUUUCCCUACCCACCCCCAACCCAGUCCCUCAGUAGGUCUUGUCAGCUUUACUUCUGAGUUUGACUACUGAUUUCUAUUUCCACUGUCACCUUGCCAGUCGCAUUGCUGUCACCUGCUUGGACCCAAGCCAGGAGGAUCCUUGUAUCUUCCUUUAAUCCGUUCUCCCUAUGACUGUUUUUAGAACAUGAAUCAGACCCUGUUAUUCCCUGGCUCAACCGUAUCCAAAGACUUCCCAUCAUGCUUGGAACAAAACUCAUACUCUUUACCACGGCCUUUGAAGUCCUGCCUCCACCGGCUUCCUGCCCGCUGUCCUCAUCCAUCCCUCUCUCCCUGCCACUCACGUUGGCCACACUGACUUUCUGGCUGUUCCUGAACAAGCCACUGCUCGUCUAUCUUUGCACCAGCUGCCCCCUCCGCCUGGAACACUCUCGCCCUUGCUCUUUAGUUGGCUGGUUCUGUUUUGUCAUUCUGGUCUCGGCUUGAGUGCCACUUCUGCAGACUUCUUCCAGCCACUAGAAAUGUACGCUCUGAGGGUAGAAAGUAGAAACUAUCUUCUUCAUGAUGGUAUUUUCAAGCCUCGAACAGGCACCUGACACAUUGGGAUUCUGAGAUCGUGGCUACCUUUGUGGUGAAGAAGACAACCGAGUCUGUUGGAAGUUGAGAAUUCUCUGGGUGUGUGCAUCUAUCGGGAGAGCAGGUGCCACAAAUCUGUGACUUGGGACUCAGAUCAAGGAACCUUACACCAAGGACAGACUCUGAACUAACCUCGAUU